rnacentral:lncRNA from 1 species
CUCAAACUAAAAGGUUCCUUCUCAGCAAAAUAAACAAUCUGUGAGGUGAAUAGAGAGCCUACAUCUUGGUGGCAAAUCUUUACCCCUCACACAUCAGAUAGAGCACUAGUUAUUAGGGUAUAUAAAGAACUCAAAAAGCUAGACACAAAAAAACAAAACAAACAAACAAACAAAAAAAAAAUCUGAAUAACCCAAUCAAUAAAUGGGCCAAGGACCUGAAGGCACACUUCUCAGAAGAUGAUGUACUAUCAAUAGACAUACAUAGGAAAAAAUGUUCAGCAUCACUAGCAAUUAGAGAAAUGCAAAUCAAAACCACUAUAAGAUUUCAUCUCACUCCAGUCAGAAUAGCAGCUAUUAUGAAGACAAACAACAAUAAGUGUUGGCGAGGAUGUGGGGAAAAAGGUACACUCAUACACUGCUGGUGGGACUUCAAAUUGGUGCAGUCAAUAUGAAAAGCAGUAUGGAGAUUUCUUGGAAAACUGGGAAUGGAACCACCAUUUGAUUCAGCUAUCCCUCUCCUCUGUCUAUACCCAAAGGACUUAAAAACAGCAUACUACAGGGACACAGCCACAUCAAUGUUUAUAGCAACAGAAUUCACAAUAGCUAAAUUUUGGAAACAAGCUAGAUGCCCUUCAAUAGAUAAAUGGUUGAAAAAAUGUGGGAUAUAUGCCCAAUGGAGUAUUACUCAGCAAUAAAAGAGAAUAAAAUCAUGGCAUUUGCAGGUAAAUGGAUGGAGUUAGAGAAGAUAAGGCUAAGUGAAGUUAGCCAAUCCCCAAAAUCCAAAUGCCAAAUGUUUUCUUUUAGAUAAGAAAUCUGAUUCAUAGUAGAAUAGGGAGAGGGAACAUGGGAGGAAUAGAUGAACUCUAGAUAGGGCAGAGGGGUGGGAGGGAAGGGAAGGGGGCAUGGAGUAACUAAUGAUGGUUCAAUGUGCUGAUCAUUAUUAUCCAAAGUACAUGUAUGAAGAAACCAAUUGGUGUCAGUAUACUAUGUAUACAACAAGGGAUAUGAAAAAUUGAACUUUAUAUAUGUAAUAAG